rnacentral:rRNA from 1 species
UACGAAGGGGGCUAGCGUUGUUCGGAAUCACUGGGCGUAAAGCGCACGUAGGCGGACCUAUAAGUCAGGGGUGAAAUCCCGGGGCUCAACCUCGGAACUGCCUUUGAUACUGCAGGUCUCGAGACCGGAAGAGGUGAGUGGAAUUCCUAGUGUAGAGGUGAAAUUCGUAGAUAUUAGGAAGAACACAAGUGGCGAAGGCGGCUCACUGGUCCGGUUCUGACGCUGAGUUGCGAAAGCGUGGGGAGCAAACAGG